rnacentral:rRNA from 1 species
CUUCCGUAGGUGAACCUGCGGAAGGAUCAUUAUCGAGCUGAGACCCCCCUCCCGGGGUCGAUCUCCCACCCUUUGUAUACCCUUCCCCUCUGUUGCUUUGGCGGUCGCGCGGCCCGCGGGCCCCCCGCCAGAGGAAACCCCAAACCCGAACGAACCUUACCGUCCGAUCAAAAACCACAAAUACGUUAAAACUUUCAACAACGGAUCUCUUGGCUCUGGCAUCGAUGAAGAACGCAGCGAAAUGCGAUAAGUAAUGUGAAUUGCAGAAUUCAGUGAAUCAUCGAAUCUUUGAACGCACAUUGCGCCCCUUGGUAUUCCGAGGGGCAUGCCUGUUCGAGCGUCAUUAUCACCCCUCAAGCGCUUGCUUGGUGUUGGGGCGUGCCCUCCCGGGGGCAGCCCUCAAAAUCAGUGGCGGCAGCCGCCUGGCUCCGAGCGUAGUAACUUUACUCCUCGCUAUGGUGCCGGUGCGGGUCGUUGGCCAUCAACCCUCCACGUCCACGACGAUUGACCUCGGAUCAGGUAGCUCCGGUC